rnacentral:rRNA from 1 species
UGGGGAAUAUUGCACAAUGGGCGCAAGCCUGAUGCAGCCAUGCCGCGUGUGUGAAGAAGGCCUUCGGGUUGUAAAGCACUUUCAGCGAGGAGGAAGGUGGUGAGCUUAAUACGCUCAUCAAUUGACGUUACUCGCAGAAGAAGCACCGGCUAACUCCGUGCCAGCAGCCGCGGUAAUACGGAGGGCGCAAGCGUUAAUCGGAAUUACUGGGCGUAAAGCGCACGCAGGCGGUUUGUUAAGUCAGAUGUGAAAUCCCCGGGCUCAACCUGGGAACUGCAUUUGAAACUGGCAAGCUAGAGUCUCGUAGAGGGGGGUAGAAUUCCAGGUGUAGCGGUGAAAUGCGUAGAGAUCUGGAGGAAUACCGGUGGCGAAGGCGGCCCCCUGGACGAAGACUGACGCUCAGGUGCGAAAGCGUGGGGCAGCAAACAGGAUUAGAUACCCUGGUAGUCCAGCGCUGUAAAACGAUGUCGAUUUGGAGGUUGUGCCCCUUGAGGCGUGGCUUCCGGAGCUAACGCGUUAAAUCGACCG